rnacentral:rRNA from 1 species
GGAAUAUUGGACAAUGGGGGCAACCCUGAUCCAGCCAUGCCGCGUGCGUGAAGAAGGCCUUAGGGUUGUAAAGCGCUUUCACUGGUGAAGAUGAUGACGGUAGCCAGAGAAGAAGCCCCGGCUAACUCCGUGCCAGCAGCCGCGGUAAUACGGAGGGGUCAAGCGUUGUUCGGAAUUACUGGGCGUAAAGGGCGCGUAGGCGGAACGUCAAGUUAGGGGUGAAAGGCCUGGGCUCAACCUAGGAACGGCCUCUAAAACUGACGAUCUAGAGUCCGGAAGAGGAUGGCGGAAUUCCCAGUGUAGAGGUGAAAUUCGUAGAUAUUAGGAAGAACACCAGUGGCGAAGGCGGCUCACUGGCUCGGUACUGACGCUGAGGCGCGAAAGCGUGGGGAGCAAAC